UACGUAGGGCGCAAGCGUUGUCCGGAAUUAUUGGGCGUAAAGAGCUCGUAGGCGGCUUGUCACGUCGAUUGUGAAAGCCCGAGGCUUAACCUCGGGUCUGCAGUCGAUACGGGCUAGCUAGAGUGUGGUAGGGGAGAUCGGAAUUCCUGGUGUAGCGGUGAAAUGCGCAGAUAUCAGGAGGAACACCGGUGGCGAAGGCGGGUCUCUGGGGCCGAUACUGACGCUGAGGAGCGAAAGCGUGGGGAGCGAACAGG
rnacentral:rRNA from 1 species